UGGGGAAUCUUGCGCAAUGGGGGAAACCCUGACGCAGCAACGCCGCGUGAGUGAUGAAGGCCUUCGGGUUGUAAAGCUCUGUCGAGUGGGGCGAAAACUGUUGGGUAAAUAAUCCAACAGUAUGACGGUACCACUAAAGGAAGCACCGGCUAACUCUGUGCCAGCAGCCGCGGUAAGACAGAGGGUGCAAGCGUUGUUCGGAAUUACUGGGCGUAAGGCGCAUGUAGGCGGUGUAGCAUGUCAGGUGUGAAAUCCCAUGGCUCAACCAUGGAAGUGCAUUUGAAACUGCUAUGCUAGAGUUCAGAAGAGGAAGGUGGAAUUCCUGGUGUAGAGGUGAAAUUCGUAGAUAUCAGGAGGAACACCCGUGGCGAAGGCGGCCUUCUGGUCUGUUACUGACGCUGAGAUGCGAAAGCGUGGGGAGCAAACAGG
rnacentral:rRNA from 1 species